rnacentral:ncRNA from 1 species
GCGUUUGCAUUUAGACUUAAUAGAGAAGCUGGUAAAGUCCAGCACGGUCCCGCCACUGUAAGAGGAGUUUAGCUGCAGGUUUGGCCACUGGAGUAUUCUGGGAAGGCGCAGCGAAGCGAUGAAUCAAGUCAGGAGAACUGCCUGUUUUUCA